CCGGGCGCACGGGUGAGUAACACGUAUGCAACCUGCCUGCCACAGCCGGAUAAUCGGGAGAAAUUCCGUCUAAUACGGCAUAAUGCAUCGACGGGACAUCCUGUUGGUGCCAAAGGUUAAUUCCGGUGGCGGAUGGGCAUGCGUCGCAUUAGUUAGUUGGCGGUGUAACGGACCACCAAGACGACGAUGCGUAGGGGUUCUGAGAGGAAGGUCCCCCACACUGGUACUGAGACACGGACCAGACUCCUACGGAAGGCAGCAG
rnacentral:rRNA from 1 species